GGCUUACCUCCUCAUUUAUGCGUCAUGACUUGUAUCGUCAUGAGCGUAUUGUGGGUUUCCUGUGUUGCAUACCUAACCAAUGGUAUCGUUUUGAUUGAUCGAAGUCCCUUUUCAUCUUGUGUUGCCUUUGCGACGCAUGAUGAACCUCGAAGCGGUCUCUAUGUUCCACCAUGUUGAUGCUAGUGUUUCGAUGUUGUGGCCCAUUGAGCGUUGCUUGGUUUCGUGGGUACAGAACAUGAUUUGGGCAUAGGGUCACUCGUGACUCUUGUUUUGUCCUUUACCAGUGUUCUUUAUAACGACGGUUCAUGCGCGCCUAGGCUCGUACCUGCGCGAUGUUCUUUGUCGAAGAGGAAUGC
rnacentral:misc_RNA from 1 species